rnacentral:rRNA from 1 species
UACGUAGGCAGCAAGCGUUGUUCGGAGUUACUGGGCGUAAAGGGUGUGUAGGCGGUUUUUUAAGUUUGGGGUGAAAUCUCCCGGCUCAACUGGGAGGGUGCGCCGAAUACUGAAAGACUAGAGUGCGGGAGAGGAAAGUGGAAUUCCUGGUGUAGCGGUGAAAUGCGUAGAUAUCAGGAGGAACACCGGUGGUGUAGACGGCUUUCUGGACCGUAACUGACGCUGAGACACGAAAGCGUGGGUAGCAAACAGG